rfam:Shewanella loihica PV-4, complete genome.
CUCUCGAAACGGCAAGCAUUAAGUAAUUAAUGUACGCAAAGCCACAGGCCCUAAUUGCAUAGCAAAAGGGUGGCUGGGUUACCGAA